GAUGAACGCUGGCGGCGUGCCUAAUACAUGCAAGUCGAGCGAACGGACGAGAAGCUUGCUUUUCUGAUGUUAGCGGCGGACGGGUGAGUAACACGUGGAUAACCUACCUAUAAGACUGGGAUAACUUCGGGAAACCGGAGCUAAUACCGGAUAAUAUUUUGAACCGCAUGGUUCAAAAGUGAAAGACGGUCUUGCUGUCACUCAUAGAUGGAUCCGCGCUGCAUUAGCUAGUUGGUAAGGUAACGGCUUACCAAGGCAACGAUGCAUAGCCGACCUGAGAGGGUGAUCGGCCACACUGGAACUGGGACACGGUCCAGACUCCUACGGGAGGCAGCAGUAGGGAAUCUUCCGCAAUGGGCGAAAGCCUGACGGAGCAACGCCGCGUGGGUGAUGAAGGUCUUCGGAUCGUAAAACUCUGUUAUUAGGGAAGAACAUAUGUGUAAGUAACUGUGCACAUCUUGACGGUACCUAAUCAGAAAGCCACGGCUAACUACGUG
rnacentral:rRNA from 1 species